rnacentral:rRNA from 2 species
UACGUAGGUGGCGAGCGUUGUCCGGAAUCACUGGGCGUAAAGGGCGCGUAGGCGGUUUCUUAAGUCGGGUGUGAAAUCUUUGGGCUCAACCUAAAGUUUGCAUUCGAUACUGGGGGACUUGAGUGCAGGAGAGGGCAGUGGAAUUCCUAGUGUAGCGGUGAAAUGCGUAGAUAUUAGGAGGAACACCAGUGGCGAAGGCGGCUGCCUGGACUGUAACUGACGCUGAGGCGCGAAAGCGUGGGGAGCAAAC